UUUUAACCAAAAAAGUAGAUUUUAAAUAUAUGAUCCCAUCCCGAACUCAAUUAUAUAUCUAUCUUUACUAAAACUACUGUUUUUAUAUGGAAUUCUUAGACAGUUAAAA
rnacentral:rRNA from 1 species